UUAGGUAGAAAGUGAAAGCACACGGCUCAACCGUGUAAACAUCUUCUAAACUGGUUAACUAGAGGGCGAGAGAGGUUAUUGGAAUUUCUUGUGUAGGAGUGAAAUCCGUAGAUAUAAGAAGGAACACCGAUGGCGUAGGCAGAUAACUGGCUCGCACCUGACACUAAGGCACGAAAGCGUGGGUAGCAAACGGGAUUAGAUACCCCGGUGGUCCACGCUGUAAACGAUGGAUGCUA
rnacentral:rRNA from 1 species